rfam:Triticum aestivum genome assembly, contig: Triticum_aestivum_CS42_TGACv1_scaffold_194529_3AL
UUUGUACUCCCUCCGUCCCAAAAUUGUUGUCUUAAAUUUGUCUAAAUACGGAUGUAUCUAGUUACAUUUUAGUGUUAGAUACAUCUGUAUCUAAACAAAUGUAAGACAAGAAUUUUGGGAUGGAGGGAAUACUGC